UACGUAGGGUGGCAAGCGUUAUCCGGAAUUAUUGGGCGUAAAGAGCUCGUAGGCGGUUUGUCGCGUCUGCUGUGAAAACUCGGGGCUUAACUCCGGGCCUGCAGUGGGUACGGGCAGACUAGAGUGCGGUAGGGGGAGACUGGAAUUCCUGGUGUAGCGGUGAAAUGCGCAGAUAUCAGGAGGAACACCGGUGGCGAAGGCGGGGUCUCUGGG
rnacentral:rRNA from 1 species